CCUAUUGGAGGAGGGUUUUAUCCAACAAAAACAGCAUCCAAAGCAAUCACAGCCACCAUCAAAGGACAGUUUGAUGAGCCGUGGUUGACAUGGGGACAAAUCCCUCAGACUCGCAAAGAUGUUUUCUUUGAGCGUUUUAAGAGAAAGGUAUCAUGGAGCAUUGAACAUGAAGAAAAGGUUAAGAAAAUUUCCACAGCAAAGCAUCUCAUAGAUUAUCUGAGAUGUUUAAAAAAGCUCGAAGAGAAGGGAAAAAACCUCAGUGGAUGGGAGACAUUGUCUGGAAUGCUCUUUUAGAGAAGUGGAACAUGCCAGUUUUUAGACAAAAGUGUGAAACCGCCAAAAAGAACAGGACAUCUGACAAGGGUGGUUGUUUGCACACCGGGGGAUCUAUUAGCGUGCAUGAGCAUGCUAUUCGUCUGGUAUGAUGACAUAUGAAUUUUAUUAUACAAUUCUACUCAUUAAUUUUACAAAUAUUUGUUGUUAACAACUUACAUCUUCUU